rnacentral:ncRNA from 1 species
UUAAAGUUUUAUUUUUACUUAAAAAUUUAAUGUAAUUUUAAUUUAAAUGUAAAUCUUAGUGAGUUUUAUUUUUAGAUAAAAUAAUAUUUGUUAGCAAUAAAUAGUAUUAAAUAUUAAAGAAAUUUAGAUUUAGUAAUAAUGUAAGUAUUAACUUAAUUUGUGCCAGCAGUUGCGGUUAUACAAAUAAUACAAUUAAAUUAUUUUAGUUUUAGUUAAUUGAUAAUUUUAAAUUUAAAUUAUAAAUUUAAUAAGUGAAAUUUUAAAUUUUAUUAAGAUUUAUGUUUGUUAAUGACUUAAGAAAUUUUAUUUAUAAACUAGGAUUAGAUACCCUAUUAUUAGAAAUGUAGUUUAAUAAGCUAAAUUAGUAUAAGAUAUAUUCUCGAAAAUUAAAGAUUUUGGCGGUAUUUUAGUCUAUUCAGAGGAACCUGUUCUAUAAUUGAUAGUCCACGAUUUAAUUUACUUAUUAUUUUAGUUUACAUAUCGUCGUAGUUUAAAUAUUUUAUUAGAAUUUUAAUAUUUAAGAUUUAUUAUAUUAAAAAAAAUCAGAUCAAGGUGUAGCUUAUUAAUAAGAAGAAAUGGGUUACUAUAAAAAAUUUAAUAUAAUUAUUUUUAAAGUAGUUUGUGUAUAGGAUUUGAAAGUAAUUUUAAUUAAUUAAUUAAAAUGAUUUUAGCUCUAAAAUAUGUACAUAUCGCCCGUCGCUUUCAUUAUAAUAUGAAAUAAGUCGUAACAAAGUAGAUUUACUGGAAAGUGAAUCUAGACA